rnacentral:SRP_RNA from 1 species
AAUGCGCCGAGGCCGAGCUGCCGGCCUGGCUGGCGCGGCUGAUGCCGGCCGAGGUCCUCGUCAACCGCGAACAG